AUUGAACGCUGGCGGCAGGCCUAACACAUGCAAGUCGAGCGGAGAGGCGGACGGGUGAGUAAUGCAAAGGAAUCUGAAAGGUACUGAGGAUAACGUCCGAAAACGGGCGCUAAUAGCGCAUACCAUCAGCUGUGAAAAGGUCGGAUUAGCUAGUUGGUGGGGUAAAGGACUACCACGGCGACGAGCCGCAACUGGUCUGAGAGGAGGAUCAGUCACACUGGAACUGAGACACGGUCCAGACUCCUACGGGAGGCAGCAGUGGGGAAUAUUGGACAAUGGGCGAAAGCCUGAUCCAGCCAUGCCGCGUGUGUGAAGAAGGUCUUCGGAUUGUAAAGCACUUUAAGUUGGGAGGCGUUACCAACAGAAUAAGCACCGGCUAACUUCGUGCCAGCCGCCGCGGUAAUAC
rnacentral:rRNA from 1 species